AGUUCAAACUGCCAAAACGAAAAAAGAUAAAAGUUCAGGGCUUACCUCAUGGCAUGCGAUAGAUUUCGUCUUCUUUCACCGUUGGGGCUCGCCGUAGCAACUGUUCGUGGCAUUUUCCUUGCUACGCCGUCCAGAAAACGUUCACGAAAGUUUUGGCACAAGACAAAUCUGUAUUUGCCGGUAUUGUCUAGAAAAGUUAUGAACGACCGGGUACACAAAGCGAGACGGUACUGCACUGCACUGCUGUUGCUGACUGAGAGUCUGAGACUGAUAUCGACGUUGUCAAGCUUUCUUAAAUGCCUACUGGAGCUUAAUACUUUCAUAAUUACACUACAAUAAAUCAGCAUACGUCACCAGUUCUUAUUUGCAUGCCUUAAGUUUUCAAAACCUUUUUUUCCUAUUUAUGUUACCAUUCCUCCUUUUAUGGCAGCCAUCAUUGUUUUCAAUAGCCUGCAGCCGCCUGCAGCCAAUGUGUGCCAUAGGCAAGACGAAAUUUUGCAACUGUUUGGGAUGACACUCUUUUAUCAUUGUUUCGUAUGAAUAUAAUUAGUUAAUCGAGUAAGCGGUGUUUUCAUGAAUGAAUAUUGAAAUUAGUUUAAUUGGGCUAACUUAACAUAAAUUCGUGCAACAUUAACUCUAGUAAUUUUACAACCCAUUUUGUACUAACCAUGACGUUCUUUGUAUUAUCUGCCUCUCUGAUGAGAAAUGAUAAAACAAUAAUAAAACAUAAAUAGUAUAAUAAAUAAAACAACAA